GCCUUCGUGUUGUAAUGGUUAACACACUCGGCUCUUAUUCCGGAGGUCCGAGGUUCUAAUCCUGGCGAGGACA
rnacentral:tRNA from 1 species